rnacentral:lncRNA from 1 species
UCACAUACACCACAACACUUCAAGCCUUGGUAUCCAAGUCACCCAAACUUUUCUACAAUUACUUGUUCUCCUGGCGAGAACUUGUUCUGAAUUAUCUCAAUUAUCUAAGGAUUCUUAUCGACCUGAUAAAUAAAUUUAUACAGAAUAUACCGUGACAGCUUGGUAGAUACAAUAGAACAUUGUACACCACCUAACCAAAAUAGAAUCCCCUUCUAAAUUUCCUACCACACCAAUAAAGAAAAUGACCAAACAAAGCAGACCAUCAUAAUCAUCUAACCCCGAGCAUAACUUCUCACCAAGAAUUCCCUUUCUUGUUCUUUUCCUCUUUUCCCGGGCGGACAAUGUCUGCAAACUCCAUUCUUUACCACUUACAACUUCAAAGAAUGGUACUAGAAAAAUAUGCGAUCAUAAGCCUUAACAUCAGCAUUGUGUUUUGACAUUUGCCAGGAAACUCUACAGUACACUUCUUUGAUACUUUAAGAGAAAAUAGUCAGAAAACAAGAAAAAUAUAUCCAAGAUAGCAAUCAAAAGAUUAUCAGCUUCAACUCCAUCACACGAUGAACUUCAAUAAAGAACCCCAUAACCAACCAAGAAACCGAAACGAUAUCAAACAAAGAAAAAGAAAAAAAGAAACAAUAUCAAACUCACAUUCUCCUGUUGUCCGCUCAACGUAACUAACCAAAUUUAGCGACACAAUAUGCAAACAAAUUGAGAAACGACUUUCCUAUUCUUUUCUUUCUCACUUUCCAAACAACCAAGCAGAAAAAAACACAUCAAAUUGAAGAUAAUACAAGAGAGAGAGAGAGAGAGAGAGAGAGAGAGAGAGAGAAAGAAGCAAAGAGACCUGAUAUAAACGAAAGAUAAGACAGAUUCUGCAACGUAAGGGAAAGAAACCCUGGAAAUAGAGUUGAAUUAGGGAUUCCAAUAAUGAAGGAGGAGAAGUAGGUAAGGCAACGAGAGUCGUGAAGGAGUCGUUCGCAGAGAAGUUCCUUUCAAAGGAGGGUUGGUGGUGUGGUGGUGGUGGGAGAAGUUGAAGACGAGCGUUUGCUUCGCCUUUCCACCUUCCGUUCUUUCUCUUUUUUAUAAUAAUAUUUUAAUACUUUUUAAAUAAAAUUUUAAUUUUUGGUGACCAAAUUACGGAAACGUUUUUAUGUCUUUAAAUUAAACAAUCC